CUUCUCAUUUAUUUGCUGCUGUAGUCUCUUAAUGAUGUGAGCAGGUACAUGCAUGGGAUAAAAUAAUAUUGGGCCAUUGUAAAUUGAGAUGAAGUAACCAUUUCAUCUCUUCUGCACAGACUAAAUGUUG